rnacentral:rRNA from 1 species
GACGAACGCUGGCGGCGUGCUUAACACAUGCAAGUCGAACGAAGUGGCGAACGGGUGAGUAAUACGUGGGUAACCUGCCCUCCUUUUUGGGAUAAGCCUUGGAAACGGGGUCUAAUACCGAAUAAAGGGGGAUGGGCUCGCGGCGGAUCAGCUGGUUGGUGGGGGUAUGGCCUACCAAGGCGGUGACGGGUAGCCGGCCUAAGAGGAGGACCAGCCACACUGGAACUGAGACACGGCCCAGACUCCUACGGGAGGCAGCAGUGGGGAAUAUUGCACAAUGGGCGAAAGCCUGAUGCAGCCAUGCCGCGUGUAUGAAGAAGGCUUUCGGGUUGUAAAGUACUUUCAGAGGGGAGACGGUACCCGCAGAAGAAGCACCGGCUAACUACGUGCCAGCAGCCGCGGUAAUAC